rnacentral:rRNA from 1 species
GACGGAAGGUGCAAGCGUUGCUCGGAAUCACUGGGCGUAAAGGGUGCGUAGGCGGCCGUGCAAGUCUGGCGUGAAAGCCCCGGGCUCAGCCCGGGAAGUGCGCUCGAAACUGCGCGGCUCGAGUGCCGGAGGGGAGAGUGGAAUUCCUGGUGUAGCGGUGAAAUGCGUAGAUAUCGGGAGGAACACCAGUGGCGAAGGCGGCGACCUGGGUCGACACUGACGCUGAGGCGCGAAAGCGUGGGGGAGCAAACAGG